rnacentral:tRNA from 1 species
GGUGGCUCAGUGGUAAGAGCGCUUGCUUUACAUGCAUAAGGCCCUGGGUUCGAUUCCUCAGCACCA